rfam:Ovis aries breed Texel chromosome 15, whole genome shotgun sequence.
UCCCUGGUGGCUCAGAGGUUAAAGUGUCUGCCUUCGAUGUGGGAGACCCAGGUUCGAUCCCUGGGUCGGGAA